rnacentral:rRNA from 1 species
AUGUUGUACGUAGGUAGAUCCUCGCACUCUGAAAGGUUUCCUAUCUUCGAUGGAAAUGACUAUCUCUAUUGGCAAGGAAGAAUGACAAUCAGACUUCAAGCUAUCAGUACUGAGCUAUGGCGGAUAGUGGAGAAUGGAUACACAAUUCAACAUCCAGAAACACCCACUCUCGAAGAUGACACUAACAUUCGGCUAAACAUGCAGGCAAAAGAUAUCAUAUGCCACAUCCUAUCAAGAGGAAUGUUCAUUCGGUUCAGAGACGUUAAAACUGCUAAGCAACUCUGGGAUGCUAUAAAAAUGACCAUGAAGGAAUAA